rnacentral:rRNA from 1 species
GGAUGAGCCCGCGGCCUAUCAGCUUGUUGGUGAGGUAAUGGCUCACCAAGGCGACGACGGGUAGCCGGCCUGAGAGGGCGACCGGCCACACUGGGACUGAGACACGGCCCAGACUCCUACGGGAGGCAGCAGUGGGGAAUAUUGCACAAUGGGCGAAAGCCUGAUGCAGCGACGCCGCGUGAGGGAUGACGGCCUUCGGGUUGUAAACCUCUUUCAGCAGAGAAGAAGCGAAAGUGACGGUACCUGCGGAAGAAGCGCCGGCUAACUACGUGCCAGCAGCCGCGGUAAUACGUAGGGCGCAAGCGUUGUCCGGAAUUAUUGGGCGUAAAGAGCUCGUAGGCGGCUUGUCACGUCGGGUGUGAAAGCCCGGGGCUUAACCCCGGGUCUGCAUUCGAUACGGGCUAGCUAGAGUGUGGUAGGGGAGAUCGAAAUUCCUGGUGUAGCGGUGAAAUGCGCAGAUAUCAGGAGGAACACCGGUGGCGAAGGCGGAUCUCUGGGCCAUUACUGACGCUGAGGAGCGAAAGCGUGGGGAGCGAACAGGAUUAGAUACCCUGGUAGUCCACGCCGUAAACGGUGGGAACUAGGUGUUGGCGACAUUCCACGUCGUCGGUGCCGCAGCUAACGCAUUAAGUUCCCCGC